rnacentral:lncRNA from 1 species
UUCUCCCUCUCUCUCUUCCUCCUUUCUCUCUCUCUCUCUCUCUUUACUCUCCCUUCCCUUUUCUCCCUCUCUCUGCCUCUUCCUCUUUCUUUCUCUCUUUCCCCCUCCUUCCCUCAUUCCCUCUCCCCUCCACAUCUAGUAAAGAUGAUAAUUCAGAGUGGCUUUAGUCCAUGCCCAGCAGCUGCGUGGAGCUGCAGAAGGAACAUGUGCCAGCAACCAGGCCAGGCACAAUGAAAAGAGGCCAAGAGUGAAGAGAAGCACACGGUGAUUAACUUUCCAAGCAAAAAGAUGCUUGGAAUGUGUUCAGGGUCUACAUCUUUCUGCAGAAGAAGGCUGACCCCACAAACAAGGUAACUACUCGCUUCUAUCAGAAUCAGGCAAACUUGGCUUUGGAGUUAAGCAGUGAGAGGCCUGCAUUUCACCCAG